GCCGAAGUGGUGGAACUGGUAGACACGCACGUUUGAGGGGCGUGUGGGGGAACCCAUGCGGGUUCGAGUCCCGCCUUCGGCACCA
rnacentral:tRNA from 1 species